rnacentral:rRNA from 1 species
UUUUUAGGGGAAGGUGUGGUGUAAAGGAUGUUCCGCCUAUUAAUUUACUUUUAUUAUGUUGGUGUAUAUCUGGUUUAAUAUUAUUGUUGAAUAAUGUAAGUUUGUGUAAUUUUAUUAGUUAAGCCAAGUCUAUGUGCUGCUUAUAGAAGUAUUCAUGCGUUACUUUAAUAAAGUUUUAGUUGUAAGCACUAUUAUAUUUAGGACUUAAAAGUAAUGUUAAAUUAGUUUGUUAAUGUGAAAUAAGUUUAGCUCAU